GUUGGAUGCAAAAGAUAAAAAAAUCUUAAAAAUAACUUGUUCUUUGGCCUUUAAACAAAGAUAAGAACAGAAUUGAGCAUAAAUAAACAACAUAUAAAUGAGCAACAAAUUUUAAGAGCAUAAAGUUAAAGCAUAUAGCAGUCAAAAAGGAUGUGUUUAUAAGGGCAUUUUUAUGCUGAAAUUUCACUGAAACCAAGACCUUUAAUCUAUUAUAUUUGUGAAAAUGCCAUACUUCUUAAUGUCAAACAGAAAUAUUAAAAGUCUAAAUAUUGCUAAAAAAUAAAAAAUUGCAACAUCCUACUUUUUGUGUUUUUAAGAUAUAUUUUUAUUGACAUAUUGAGAAUUAAAAGUAGGUCAUUUAUCAGAGCAGAGCUUCUGCCAUGUAUACCAAAACCAUUAUAUGAUACUUGCAUACUGUUGGCAUUUCUAAAUCACCAUUUAUGGCCUAACCUAGCAGUAUUUAGUCAUUUAAGAAUAGAUAUCCAAUAAGUCCCUUCUUUUAUUCAUCUCAUAAUCUCAGUGAAUAUUUAAAGUAUGUGAAAAACUAUUUCAUGUAUAAAUCCAGGAUUUUGAGUGACUACCUUAUUUGUGCAAAUAAGUUCCUUAGCAUAGCAAGUCCUUUGUUGAGGAAACAUAUAUUUCUAUUUC
rnacentral:lncRNA from 1 species